rnacentral:tRNA from 1 species
AGCGGGGUUCAAGACUACUCGGAGCGUUGUAGUCGGGCUCAUAACCCGAAGGUCGCGGGUUCAAAUCCCGCCCCCGCUA